AUUGAACGCUGGCGGCAGGCUUAACACAUGCAAGUCGAACGCGUGGCGGACGGGUGAGUACUAUUUGGGAAUCUAGCUUAUGGAGGGGGAUCACUACGGGAAACUGUCGAUAAUACCGCGUACCAUAGGAUGAGCCCAAGUGGGAUUAGGUAGUUGUUGAGGUAAAGGCUCACCAAGCCGACGAUCUCUCGCUGGUCUGAGAGGAUGACCAGCCACACUGGGACUGAGACACGGCCCAGACUCCUACGGGAGGCAGCAGUGGGGAAUAUUGCGCAAUGGGGGCAACCUGACGCAGCCAUGCCGCGUGAAUGAAGAAGGCCUUCGGGUUGUAAAGUUCUUUCGGUAGCGAGGCGUUAACGACAGAAGAAGCACCGGCUAACUCCGUGCCAGCCGCCGCGGUAAUAC
rnacentral:rRNA from 1 species